rnacentral:lncRNA from 1 species
AUGACGGCCGACCGGGCCGGGGGCGGGGAGGCGGGGGCGCGGGGCCCGCAGCCCCCCCCGGCCCCCGGCCCCCGGCCCCCCCCGCCGCCUCCGGGGCCGCAGCGAGGCGCACCUGGGGCCCGGGCCCUCCGCCGCCGACGCGCGCUGCGCGGACCCGCCUCGCAGGGGCCAGGAGCCGGCCCCCCUAUAUCAGCGCGUGCGGUGUCCGGGGGCGGAGGCCGGCCCACGCCCGCAACCACGCCCGCGCCCGCGCCCGCGCCCGCCCCCGAGCCCGCCGAGCGCCUCCGCCGCCGCCCUCGCGGCCCCCCGCGCCCAGCCCGAGCGCCUCGGAGCCCGGGCGGGAGCCGGGCGCCCGGGAGCCUCGAGCCUCCGCCUGCUGGUCCAGCCCCGCGGUGGCAGGGGCCGCGCCGGGGGCGCUGGUCGUUGUGCCGCGCGGAAGCGGGCGAGGGCGGACGUGGGGGUCCGUGGCCGAGGCACGGGGUCGAGGCCAGGAGCCAGGUGAGCCACUGGCCCUGCCGCGUCUCCUCACGGGAGACCAAGCAAAUGUACACGCGCGCACACGCCGCACACACACAUGCACACACGCGCACACGCGCGCACGCACACACUGACCCUCAGUCUGCUCAUCUGCGAAGUGGUGAUGAUGAAUGGGCCUCCCCGGGAACGGGCACCGGAGGAACCGACGUGGCGCUGGCGAAGCGCGUGCCUCAGCGCUGCGAGAGCGACCAGCAGCACCCAGCGGGGAGACCUGGGCCGGACCCUUCCUCCACCGCAGGCCUCAGUUUGCUUGGCCGGAAAUGGGGAUCCUCCGAGGUUGGGCGAGGACCUGAAGCCAUCAAGGGCGCGGGAGCCGGGAGACCAGAGGAACCCCUCCCCCCAUCACGUGCUGAGCCCUUACCCGGGCUGGGGGAGGGGGAGGGAGAGUCCGGCAUCCCCGGGACAAAGGGGACCCCUGGCUGGGACAGGCCCAGCAAUUGCUCUGGGGUGGGGGGGGGAGACUGGACCUGGUCACUCUCACUUUUCAGGUGA